UCUUUCAUUAAAUGUAUAAAACAUCAACUAACAACUCAACAAAUAAUACAAAUACAGUUGCAUAAAUCACUAAAAUCACCUUGUAUAAACGAGUAAGUGUAUUUUACUGAUGAUGUUUUAGAAUACAUGGGAUGUUACUUGGAUGACGCCAAGAGGAUGAUCGCUGCUAUUUGGGUUGAUCGGAGCGACAUGACCCAUGGGUGGUGUUUUAAUAAUUGCAGGAAGGGUCAUCACAAGUAUGCAGCGUUGCAGUAUUACACACAUUGCUUCUGUGGAGAUUCCAUCAACAUAGUCAGAUAUCCAAAGAAACCGGAAAGUGACUGCAAUCAACCUUGCAGGGGAAACACAAGUGAGAUGUGUGGCGGGACUUGGAGAAAUUCCCUUUACAGGUUGUUCUAACAAUAAAAUCACCAGCCGAUCAA